ACGAGCCCGCUAGUAGAUAUUGUCCUCUCUGGGCCCUAGCCCGCAAGGUUUUGCUUUGGAGUGGGAACGACCCACCCAAAAGGCCUCUACUAGGUUGAGGUAUCCACCUCUAUAUAAAGAAAGCUUUGUUCUCCUCAACUUCCGAUGUGAGAUGGCUUUUACUCCCUUUCCCCACCCCCCUUAAAGGGUGUCUGCGUCCUCGAAGGCACGACAGGACAUCGAAUCGGGCCCUGGCUCUUAUACCAUCUGUAACACCCCUCUGGGGACCACGAGCCCGCUAGUAGAUAUUGUCCUCUCUGGGCCCUAGCCCGCAAGGUUUUGCUUUGGAGUGGGAACAACCCACCCAAAAGGCCUCUACUAGGUUGAGGUAUCCACCUCUAUAUAAAGAAAGCUUUGUUCUCCUCAACUUCCGAUGUGGGAUGGCUUUUACUCCCUUUGUAACACCCCGUAUUUUAUACCCGAUUAAUAAUUAUUUUUGCUGAAAAUAAUUUCAGAUUUCUUUUAUUAAUAAUAUAUUUUUUUACUAACUUUGACUUUACCUUUGAAGUGGUUAAAAAAGAAAAAAAACUGAUUCCUAGAUUUACUAGGUUACUAUCUAAUACUUAUCACUAUAUUAGGAGAGAGAAAGUGAAAAAAAAGAAGAAGAAGAAGAAAAGAACACAAAGCAGAAGAAGUUCUGCAUAUCUUCUCCAACGUGAGCAUCAUUCUUCCUUCCAAAAAAAAAAAUCCCUUAACCUUCAACAUCAUAGAUGUUACUAAAAUCUUCAUCUUCCAUCUUCACACUUCAAGUCUUAUUCAUUCUUCUUCAAUAGCUUCAGUUAUUGUGAGUUUUCAAAGGGGUUAUUAGUGUGCUUUGGUUUGCGAUUUCGGGUCGAGAAUCGAAUCAAAGGACGGUUUUUGGGUUCUUCUUAUAGAGUAAUCUCAUCUUAUUCCUUCCCCUAAUCAAAUUUCGGAUUUAUAGAAGAAUCUUUCUGACUUGAGGUUGAGUUGUUUGACUUUAUUGCUGAUAAGGGACUUGAAGAUAGUUAGCUCCAGUUGGGUUAAAGAGUGCGUUGGAUCCAUUUUGAUUUAAUAGGACUUUAAAAAGACUUCCGCUGUUAUUUAUUUAAAAGAUUUAUGUUCUGGUUUGUAAUAAUUAAUUUUACAUUCUAUUUAGUUGGUCUGUAAUAAUUAGUUAAAACUUAUUGGUUAUUGUUUUAGUUAGAACCAUUAGCCUUGCGGUUAUUAUUAAUAGUUAUCGCGGCGUAUCACCUUUGGAUUUCCGAGUUUAUUUAUAUUAAGUUGAUUUUAGAA